rnacentral:rRNA from 1 species
AACCUCCGCAAUGUGAGAAAUCGCGACGGGGGGAUCCCAAGUGCCAUUCUUAACGGGAUGGCUUUUCAUUAGUGUAAAGAGCUUUUGGAAUAAGGGCUGGGCAAGACCGGUGCCAGCCGCCGCGGUAACACCGGCAGCUCUAGUGGUAGCAGUUUUUAUUGGGCCUAAAGCGUCCGUAGCCGGUUUAAUAAGUCUCUGGUGAAAUCCUGUAGCUUAACUGUGGGAAUUGCUGGAGAUACUAUUAGACUUGAGACCGGGAGAGGUUAGAGGUACUCCCAGGGUAGAGGUGAAAUUCUGUAAUCCUGGGAGGACCGCCUGUUGCGAAGGCGUCUAACUGGAACGGUUCUGACGGUGAGGGACGAAAGUUAGGGGCGCGAACCGGAUUAGAUACCCGGGUAGUCCUAACUGUAAACGAUGCGGACUUGGUGUUGGGGUGGCUUUGAGCUGCUCCAGUGCCGAAGGAAGCUGUUAAGUCCGCCGCCUGGGAAGUACGGUCGCAAGACUGAAACUUAAAGGAAUU